GCGGGCACCGACCUCCGCCCGCAGCGCCGCCUGGCGGGCCGGAGCCGCCCGCGCGCCUCCUCACGGCCGCCGUAUUGAACACAAACAAAUAAACAAACAGCAAACCACGGAAAAAGGGGGGAAAAAAGUGGUUUCUCCACGCGGGCCUAACUCCAGGACCUGGAGCCUAGCGGAGGUGGCCACGGGAGCAGACAUACGGUGUUGUCAGCAGAGCCGGCCUGAGAGCGGCUUGUCCGGCGGGGCGGGGACUGCUUAAGGCGGGCCUGAGAUGUGAGGCGGGCUUUCAGCGUGUUUGUGGAAAUGCGAGCUGCCUUUGGAGCCGCCGUUGCGGGAAACCGAAAUGAAAUUUAAAGUGCAACCUUUUUGGUUCACUCCUUAUGUUUACUCAGAAACCAUGAAAUUGGAGUUAUGGAGGUUGAUAUUAUUCCAAGAAUAAAAAAUGAAAUGCAUGGAAUUAAGGUCUAACUAAUAUGCUAGAUUUCAUGGAAUUCAUGGUUCUGAACUCUAAAUAGAAAAAACAGCAGAGGAACUCCAGACUGAUUUUUAAAGACUGCUUUUUGAAGGCAUUUUCCACCAUCUCAGUGGCAGCUGUUGUCACAGGACUGUAAAGAUUGGAAGAAACCUCUUGAGGUCAUCUGGUUUGACCAUUCUUAGAAUAAAAAGAUUUUUUCUUCUCUUUGGAUGGAA